rnacentral:tRNA from 1 species
GCGCGAGUAGUCCAGUGGCCAAGAUGCGGCCUUGCCAAGGCUGUGACCCGGGUUCGAAUCCCGGCUCGCGCA